UGAAGAUAGCUAGCAAGUACAGCAUCCAAUUGAUGGCAUUGUUCUAUGUGAAUGAUACCCUAGGGAAUGAUACCCCUGGAAACAUCCAUACAGGGUUAUAUGAGCCUUCGUGGCUUGUAGAUAUUGCGAAUCUCUCGGUCCUCAUACAUCUAAUUUGCGGAUAUCAGGUAUUUGCACAACCCCUCUUCGCACGGCACAAGAAAUGUCUAACUGCAAGAUGGCCGAAUUCAAGCUUCUCGAACAAUGUCUACACUGUAAAACUUCCCUUUACUGCAUCAAAAUCAUUGUAGUUCACCCUUUGCAAGCUUCUUCAAUGCAAUUCUAGGCUUGUUUGGUGCACUGAGCUUCUGACCGCUAACCGUGCACUACCUAUUGACUAUGUACAUCACUCAAGCAAAGGUGAAGAAGGGACACCUUAAGUGGAUAAUUCUCCAAGCCAUGAGUUUGAUCUGUCUUUUUCUUUCACUUGCCAGUGCUAUAGGUUCAAUUGCAGAUAUCAUUGGACAUUUUAAGAAUGCUAAAUUUUUCAAGAUUGAACUCUAAUAUAUCUGUCUAUAUAUAUAUAUAUAUAUAUAUGUUUUUCUGGGUAACUUCAAAUAUUCAGUUCUUUGCUCUGAAAACUUGUUAAUUUCACUAAUUUCGAUCUGAUAGGCUGAUACAGUUUCUCCCAUUAAUUGCUAUAAAAUAGUUAUUUAGACAUGUGAUACAGAUUACAUUUCUAGCCGUUCUUGGUGGGAUGCUUAGCUUUAACAGCAUUGCAAGGAUUGGCAUCUAUCAGCAUGUUGAGAACCUCUCUCAUGGUUGGACGCGCUGACG